CAAAGUUGCAGUGGCUGAAACUCUAAUAGGGUCCUGAGAAAAUUUUUUUCUCAAAAUGGGUCUAUUAAGAAAAGAAAAUUUGCCUUGCUAUUUCAAUAAAUCAUAGCUCAAUCUUUGAAAUUCACAAGUUUCAAGACUUGGAGAAAGCCAAGAGUCCACUUGUGAGUCCCUAAAACAUUGCAGUGCCUCCUGUGGUUGUACCUUUAGAACUGUAUUGCCAGUGCAGCAAUGUUGCUAUUAAUGAGAACUCCCUAGCUGUGGCUUCAUCGUCAAUGCCUCCACAGCAGGAAAAUCCCUGCAGAGCAUGAUUUGUGCUAAAGGUUCUAUCCCAGGUCCGAGUCCUGUCCAGCACCAGCACCCAAUGCAGAUCUUGGAGAGCAAAUG
rnacentral:lncRNA from 1 species